rnacentral:rRNA from 1 species
UUUAAACUAAUAUACACUUUUCUAUAAUACGAUUGUCUGAAGAUGUUAGAGAAUUAACUAAAUUCUAAAACAUAACUUUCAACAACGGAUCUCUUGGCUCUCGCAUCGAUGAAGAACGCAGCGAAAUGCGAUACGUAAUGUGAAUUGCAGAAUUCAGUGAAUCAUCGAAUCUUUGAACGCAUCCUGCGCUCUUUGGUAUUCCGAAGAGCAUGCUUGUUUGAGUAUCAGUAAACACCUCAACCAAAAUUCUUUUUUUUUUUGAAUUUUGGGUGGAUUUGAGCAAACCCAACGGCAAAUGUGUGCUGGCGGGUUGCUUAAAAUGCAGGUGCAGCUGUGACAAGAACAGACUGAGCUAAAAGCAUAUCUAUUUAGUCCGUUUCGGCGGAUUAUCUCUAAUUUGCUGCAGCUACUCCAAGGUCCUCUUGUGUGAGCUGACUGAUGCAGGAUUUUGUUAGAACUUUUCUUCUUCUUUUUUAGAAGAAAAGGAUUCUUUCAAAAACUCGAUCUCAAAUCAAGUAAGACUACCCGCUGAACUUAAGCAUAUCAAUAAGCGGAGGAA